rnacentral:rRNA from 1 species
GAUGAACGCUGGCGGCGUGCCUAAUACAUGCAAGUCGAGCGAACAGACGAGGAGCUUGCUCCUUCGACGUUAGCGGCGGACUGGUGAGUAACACGUAGGUAACCUACCUAUAAGACUGGGAUAACUUCGGGAAACCGGAGCUAAUACCGGAUAAUAUUUCGAACCGCAUGGUUCGAUAGUGAAAGAUGGCUUUGCUAUCACUUAUAGAUGGACCUGCGCCGUAUUAGCUAGUUGGUAAGGUAACGGCUUACCAAGGCAACGAUACGUAGCCGACCUGAGAGGGUGAUCGGCCACACUGGAACUGAGACACGGUCCAGACUCCUACGGGAGGCAGCAGUAGGGAAUCUUCCGCAAUGGGCGAAAGCCUGACGGAGCAACGCCGCGUGAGUGAUGAAGGUCUUCGGAUCGUAAAACUCUGUUAUUAGGGAAGAACAAACGUGUAAGUAACUGUGCACGUCUUGACGGUACCUAAUCAGAAAGCCACGGCUAACUACGUG